CAUAAAUUCUCUGUCACAAUUUGAGCUUGCUACAGCAAGAAAGUCUAACCUAUGCCAGUAUUCUCUUCCCCAUGAGGCAAGCUGUUAUAUAGGCUCAAAGAAA
rnacentral:snoRNA from 1 species